rnacentral:rRNA from 1 species
AACGUAGGACGCAGGCGUUAUCCGGAAUUACUGGGCGUAAAGCGCGUGUAGGUGGUUUGAUAAGUCACUGUUGAAAGCUCCCGGCUAAACUGGGAGAGGUGCGGUGAGACUGUCAGGCUAGAGUACGGGAGAGGGAUGCAGAAUUCCGGGUGUAGUGGUGAAAUGCGUAGAGAUCCGGAGGAAUACCAGAGGCGAAGGCGGCAUCCUGGCCUGAAACUGACACUGAGACGCGAAAGCAUGGGGAGCGAACGGG